AUACGUAGGGUGCGAGCGUUAAUCGGAAUUACUGGGCGUAAAGCGUGCGCAGGUGGUUUUGUAAGUCAGAUGUGAAAUCCCCGGGCUUAACCUGGGAACUGCGUUUGAAACUGCAAGGCUAGAGUGUGGCAGAGGGGGGUGGAAUUCCGCGUGUAGCAGUGAAAUGCGUAGAGAUGUGGAGGAACACCGAUGGCGAAGGCAGCCCCCUGGGUCAGCACUGACGCUCAGGCACGAAAGCAUGGGGAGCAAACAGGAUUAGAAACCCGAGUAGUCC
rnacentral:rRNA from 1 species